UCCGGAUUUAAUUAUGAUAAGUUAAGGACAAAAAAAUUAUUUCGGGAUACAAAGUCGGGAUUCUUGACCUUCGAUUUUAUUUUGAGAUAUAUGUGGUGCAUGAAUUUAUUGGUAUGGAACAAUUAGGAAAAUUUGGGACCAAAAGUGAUAAAAAUUGGAAGAUAAAAAUUAUCCACAAUUUGCAUGGUUGGCCCACACAAAUGGUGUUCAAUUUUAAUUGGUCCACCACAUUGUGUGGGCCACAAACAAUAAGAGAUAUUAUGGGGACUUAAAAAGAUGACCUUAAUUCAUCUCCUCACCAUUCUAUACUUAGCAAAAAAACAAAAAAACAAAACAAAAGUGGAAGAACCAAGGGGGAGCUCACGGCUAGGAGCAAGAAAACCAACCCCCAUUUCUUUGCCUUCAAAAAUUAAUUUCUUGGUGUUAACCCACUAUAUUGAAGUCCCUAAGUAGCGUGGAAGAGUUGUUUGGGUCAUCUAACCAUUCAUUGUAUCCAAUUGCAAACCCUAGGCUAUUGUAAGGUUGAAGAAGAAAAGAUCGUGGGCAGCCCGAAUCAUAGGUUGGAUUUAGCUUGAGUUUGGAUCGUAUUGGAGAGCGUUUGAGGUACGGACGCACAGCCUGGUGAUCCACCUGUUUAGGACACCCUUUCUGCUAUUCGGAGUGCUCCUCUCUUUCCGGAGCUUAUACUUUUGGUAUAUAUAUUUUUAUUAGUGCAUUUGUAUAUAUUCGUUCAUGGGUACGGCGGGGCCCUGUCCUGUCAUAUGAUUCUGUCGGUCUGUUUAGAGGUCUGUGGAUAUGUUUGUGGGUUAGGGUCUUUCUGUAUGGAUGUAUGUACAUGUCGUUUGGGCGAUCCCAUACGCCGAGGCGGCUGGUCCGCAUAUGUUGUUUGGGCAAUCCUAUACGCCGAGGCGGCCGGUCCGCAUAUGUUUAUAUAUUGCUUGGUUAGCCCUGUGUGGAUUUUGUUGGUAU